rnacentral:tmRNA from 1 species
GGGGAUGACAGGCUUCGACGGGAGAGGCUGGUCCCGGAAUGCGAGCCGAGAGCGCGCCGAACUCGUAAACUCAGCGCAAACAAUCAAGUGCCAACAACCGCACUUACGCUGCUAUGCCCCUCGCCGCCUAAGGCGAUCGCAUAACAGUCGGCAUCCUUUGAUGAUGCUGCGUCCGCCGGCACCGCCCUCCAUCGGGUGACGGACCGGGCGAAACAAAGAUGGAGUGCCGCGCGCGAUUCUGCUAAACGCGCGAAAGACCAGCAGAUGGUCACAGGCUUACCAGCCCGCCGGGGUGUCUGUGAUGACGAUCAACGGCAGGCUACGCUCGUAGAGUUCCGAGGGUCGAAUCUUUCGGACCCGGGUUCAAUUCCCGGCAUCUCCACAC